rnacentral:rRNA from 1 species
UACGUAGGGGGCAAGCGUUGUCCGGAAUCAUUGGGCGUAAAGCGCGUGUAGGCGGUUACGUAAGUCUGCUGUGAAAGUCGGAGGCUCAACCUUCGAAAGCCGGUGGAUACUGCGUGACUAGAGUACGGAAGAGGAGAGUGGAAUUCCUGGUGUAGCGGUGAAAUGCGCAGAUAUCAGGAGGAACACCAACGGCGAAGGCAGCUCUCUGGGACGUUACUGACGCUGAGAGCGAAAGCGUGGGGAGCAAACAGGAUUAGAACCGUACCGGUCGAGAC